rnacentral:rRNA from 1 species
CCCUUAGAUGUUCUGGGCCGCACGCGCGCUACACUGAUGCAUUCAGCGAGUCCAUCCUUGCCCGAAAGGGCUGGGUAAUCUUUUGAAAUUGCAUCGUGAUGGGGCUUGCGGGUUGCAACUACCCGCACCAACGAGGAAUUCCUAGUAAACGCAAGUCAACAACUUGCAUUGAUUACGUCCCUGCCCUUUGUACACACCGCCCGUCGCUCCUACCGAUUGGAUGGUCCGGUGAAGCCUCGGGAUUGUGGUUCUUGCCGCUUUAUUGUGGCGUGACCGCGAGAACUUGUCUAAACCUUAUCAUCUAGAGGAAGGUGAAGUCGUAACA